rnacentral:tRNA from 1 species
GCCCCUGUAGCUUAAACAUAAAAGCAUUG